rnacentral:rRNA from 1 species
CUACGGGACGCUCCAGUGAGGAAUAUUGGACAAUGGAGGCAACUCUGAUCCAGCCAUGCCGCGUGCAGGAAGACGGCCCUAUGGGUUGUAAACUGCUUUUAUACAGGAAGAAUGGUACCUACGUGUAGGUAUUUGACGGUACUGUACGAAUAAGGAUCGGCUAACUCCGUGCCAGCAGCCGCGGUAAUACGGAGGAUCCAAGCGUUAUCCGGAAUCAUUGGGUUUAAAGGGUCCGUAGGCGGUCUGAUAAGUCAGAGGUGAAAUCCUGCAGCUCAACUGUAGCAUUGCCUUUGAUACUGUUAGACUUGAGUUAUUGUGAAGUAGUUAGAAUGUGUGGUGUAGCGGUGAAAUGCAUAGAUAUCACACAGAAUACCGAUUGCGAAGGCAGAUUACUAACAAUACACUGACGCUGAGGGACGAAAGCGUGGGUAGCGAACAGGAUUAGAUACCCUGGUAGUC